GGGCUCCUGCACACUGAUAUCCAUCUCCCCCGCUUGUCUUGGAUCUGUUCCUCGGCUCCUGCACUCUGAUAUCCAUCUCACCCGCUUCUAAGUGUCCGUCACAACCAGCGUGGAAACCUGGAGGUUCCCUCCAUAUUUCACAACGCUGUCUUUCCAAUCGCCUUGUGUUUCAGGUCUUGGAUCUCUUCCUGGGCUCCUGCACUCUGAUAUCCAUCUCACCCGCUUGUCUUGGAUCUGUUUGUGGGCUCCUGCACACUGAUAUCCAUCUCACCCGCUU